CUGUACGGGAAGGAUGAGAAGCUUCGACUAAGGUUCGAUUCGAGCGUCAGCGAGAAAGCGUUGCCGCAGGCAACGACCCGAAGGGCGAAACGCGCAGCGCUGAGUCAUCCUUCCCCCACCACCA
rnacentral:sRNA from 1 species